rnacentral:rRNA from 1 species
GAUGAACGCUGGCGGCGUGCCUAAUACAUGCAAGUCGAGCGAACGGACGAGAAGCUUGCUUCUCUGAUGUUAGCGGCGGACGGGUGAGUAACACGUGGAUAACCUACCUAUAAGACUGGGAUAACUUCGGGAAACCGGAGCUAAUACCGGAUAAUAUUUUGAACCGCAUGGUUCAAAAGUGAAAGACGGUCUUGCUGUCACUUAUAGAUGGAUCCGCGCUGCAUUAGCUAGUUGGUAAGGUAACGGCUUACCAAGGCAACGAUGCAUAGCCGACCUGAGAGGGUGAACGGCCACACUGGAACUGAGACACGGUCCAGACUCCUACGGGAGGCAGCAGUAGGGAAUCUUCCGCAAUGGGCGAAAGCCUGACGGAGCAACGCCGCGUGAGUGAUGAAGGUCUUCGGAUCGUAAAACUCUGUUAUUUGGGAAGAACAUAUGUGUAAGUAACUGUGCACAUCUUGACGGUACCUAAUCAGAAAGCCACGGCUAACUACGUG